CAAUAGCGUAUAUUAAAGUUGUUGCGGUAAAAAGCUCGUAGUUGGAUUUCUGUUGAGAACGACCGGUCCAUACAACGUGUGCGUAUCUGGUUCGGUCUCGGCAUCCUCUCGACAGACGACUCUGCGCUUGAUUGCGUGGAUCGGAUAUCGGGACUUUUACUUUGAGGAAAUUAGAGUGUUCACGGCAAGCUUUCGCUUUGAAUACAUUAGCAUGGAAUAAUAAUAUAGGGCGUGAGUCUUAUUUUGUUGGUUUCUAGGACAUACGCAAUGAUUAAUAGGGACAAUUGGGGGCAUUCGUAUUAACGCGUCAGAGGUGGAAUUCUUGGAUUUGUUAAAGACGGACUACUGCGAAAGCAUUUGCCAAGGAUGUUUUCAUUGAUCAAGAACGAAAGUUAGGGAUCGAAGAUGAUUAGAUACCGU
rnacentral:rRNA from 1 species